rnacentral:rRNA from 1 species
AUUGAACGCUGGCGGCAUGCCUUACACAUGCAAGUCGAACGGUAACAGGUCUUCGGAUGCUGACGAGUGGCGAACGGGUGAGUAGUACAUCGGAACGUGCCUAGUAGUGGGGGAUAACUACUCGAAAGAGUGGCUAAUACCGCAUGAGAUUUACGGAUGAAAGCAGGGGAUCGCAAGACCUUGUGCUACUAGAGCGGCCGAUGGCAGAUUAGGUAGUUGGUGGGAUAAAAGCUUACCAAGCCGACGAUCUGUAGCUGGUCUGAGAGGACGAACAGCCACACUGGGACUGAGACACGGCCCAGACUCCUACGGGAGGCAGCAGUGGGGAAUUUUGGACAAUGGGCGCAAGCCUGAUCCAGCAAUGCCGCGUGCAGGAUGAAGGCCUUCGGGUUGUAAACUGCUUUUGUACGGAACGAAAAGCCCUGGGUUAAUACCCUGGGGUCAUGACGGUACCGUAAGAAUAAGCACCGGCUAACUACGUGCCAGCAGCCGCGGUAUAC